rnacentral:rRNA from 1 species
GAUGAACGCUGGCGGCGUGCUUAACACAUGCAAGUCGAACGGGAUCCAUCAAGCUUGCUUGGUGGUGAGAGUGGCGAACGGGUGAGUAAUGCGUGACCGACCUGCCCCAUACACCGGAAUAGCUCCUGGAAACGGGUGGUAAUGCCGGAUGCUCCAGUUGAUCGCAUGGUCUUCUGGGAAAGCUUUCGCGGUAUGGGAUGGGGUCGCGUCCUAUCAGCUUGACGGCGGGGUAACGGCCCACCGUGGCUUCGACGGGUAGCCGGCCUGAGAGGGCGACCGGCCACAUUGGGACUGAGAUACGGCCCAGACUCCUACGGGAGGCAGCAGUGGGGAAUAUUGCACAAUGGGCGCAAGCCUGAUGCAGCGACGCCGCGUGAGGGAUGGAGGCCUUCGGGUUGUAAACCUCUUUUAUCGGGGAGCAAGCGAGAGUGAGUUUACCCGUUGAAUAAGCACCGGCUAA